rnacentral:tRNA from 1 species
AUUUAAAUAGUUUAAGUAUAAAAUAUUAGUUUGUGGUACUAAAGAAAUUUAUAUAAAUUUUAAAUU